AAAUAAUUCAAUAUUGAAUCUCUUCUACAGUGUGUGAAUUAAAUUUCUGAACUUAUGGAUAUGAAAAUAUAUUUUCAUUUUCUCGUUUUCUUACUUAUUCUUUUCAUGGGUUUUGGUAAUAACCUAACAGAAGGAGGAACAGUAACAUGCUCAGUUGUUUUGAGUAGGGACCAAUAUUGUGCAAACCCUAAGGCAUGUUUGAAGGCUUGCGAGUUUUUUCAUUAUAACGAUUUGGUCUAUUCAGAAUGUAUUCCAAAGGUAGGAUGCGUUUGUACUUUUAUAAAUCCAGAUCAAACUAAACCAUGUCCUACACAUCAUAUGAUAAACUAGAACAGUCAUAUACAUUAUAUUAUUUAGUUGUUUAUCCUUUUUUGGGUGGC